rnacentral:rRNA from 1 species
AUACGUAGGGGGCGAGCGUUGUCCGGAAUUACUGGGCGUAAAGGGUGCGUAGGCGGUCUAUUAAGUCAGAUGUGAAAUACCUCGGCUCAACUGAGGGGUUGCAUUAGAAACUGGUAGGCUAGAGUGCAGGAGAGGGAAGUGGAAUUCCUAGUGUAGCGGUGAAAUGCGUAGAGAUUAGGAGGAACACCAGUGGCGAAGGCGGCUUCCUGGACUGUAACUGACGCUGAGGCACGAAAGCGUGGGUAGCGAACAGGAUUAGAUACCCUGGUAGUCCACGCCGUAAACGAUGGAUACUAGGUGUAGGGGGUAUCGACCCCCUCUGUGCCGGAGUUAACGCAAUAAGUAUCCCGCCUGGGGAGUACGGCCGCAAGGUUGAA